GGUGGGGGGGAAGGGUCUAGCAUGCGAGUCAUUGUAGCAGUACAAGGCAGACGGCUCAGUAACGCGUAGUCAAUCUACCCUAUGGACGGGGAUAACCUCGGGAAACUGAGAAUAAUACCCGAUAGAACAUUAUGCCUGGAAUGGUUUAUGUUUCAAAUGAUUUAUCGCCAUAGGAUGGGACUGCGGCCUAUCAGUUUGUUGGUGAGGUAAUGGCCCACCAAGACUAUUACAGGUACGGGCUCUGAGAGGAGUGGCCCGGAGAUGGGUACUGAGACACGGACCCAGGCCCUAUGGGGCGCAGCAGGCGAGAAAACUUUGCAAUGUGCGAAAGCACGACAAGGUUAAUCCGAGUGGUUUCUGCUAAAGGAACCUUUUGUCAGUCCUAGAAACACUGAUGAAUAAGGGGUGGGCAAGUUCUGGUGUCAGCCGCCGCGGUAAAACCAGCACCUCAAGUGGUCAGGAUGAUUAUUGGGCCUAAAGCAUCCGUAGCCCGUUUUGUAAGUUUUCGGUUAAAUCCAUGCGCUUAACGUAUGGGCUGCCGGGAAUACUGCAUAACUAGGAAGUGGGAGAGGUAGACGGUACUCGGUAGGAAGGGGUAAAAUCCUUUGAUCUAUUGAUGACCACCUGUGGCGAAGGCGGUCUACCAGAACACGUUCGACGGUGAGGGAUGAAAGCUGGGGGAGCAAACCGGAUUAGAUACCCGGGUAGUCCCAGCUGUAAACUAUGCAAACUCAGUGAUGCAUUGGCUUGUGGCCAAUGCAGUGCUGCAGGGAAGCCGUUAAGUUUGCCGCCUGGGAAGUACGUACGCAAGUAUGAAACUUAAAGGAAUUGGCGGGGGAGCACCACAAGGGGUGAAGCCUGCGGUUCAAUUGGAGUCAACGCCGGG
rnacentral:rRNA from 1 species